UAGGGAAUCUUCCGCAAUGGACGAAAGUCUGAUGGAGCAACGCCGCGUGAGUGAAGAAGGGUUUCGGCUCGUAAAGCUCUGUUGGUAGUGAAGAAAGAUAGAGGUAGUAACUGGCCUUUAUUUGACGGUAAUUACUUAGAAAGUCACGGCUAACUACGUGCC
rnacentral:rRNA from 1 species